ensembl:lncRNA
UCUUUGAUACAGAAAAUACUUCCUGUGCUUCAGCAUGGAGAGGUGGUGAACAUUGACGUGGCUUUCAUGGUCUAUGUGGCUCACGAAAGUGGCUUUCUGACAGAAGAGGAGAAAAGACGUAUCAUUGUGUGUAUGAAGAGUUUAGGUCUUCCUGUGUGGCAUUCAGACUGCACUCUGGAUCUAGUACUGAAGUCCCUUACUGAACGACUCGAGCACUCCGGAGGAUUUCUGAGAAUGCCUCUACCCACAGCACUAGGAAAAGCAACAAUCUUCAAUGACACAGAAGAGAGCAUUGUGUUGCCAAGCAUUCAAGAAAUGGUGUGAUGAACAGUGCGAAGCCACCAUGAAACCAGAAUAACACACCACAGGAAAUGUUGAGUCUGAUUGAUUAUACUCUUGAACCAAGAAAACAUCUGUGCUACAAAAUGAACCACACCAAAUCAUGAAUGAAAACCUCCAGAAAUUGUGAAAAACACUCAGUUUUAUUUCAAUGUCUGUAACAUUUUCAUUCCCAAUACACCUGUCAAGCUUUAAAACCCAACAAUGAAAUGCUACUUUCCUCAUAAAGCUUCCCUGCAGAAGUCUCACGGUUUGACUGAAAGGUGACUUUCCCAACAGGUUUAACGUGGGCCGGCUUCCAGUACUGAAUUCAUAUCAAAGGAAUGCUUUAUAAAGACAUUCAACCAAAAAUCAACAUUACAAGCUAUUCUAAGUUCCUUCUUAAAUAAUGUUUGGUUAAGCUUCAAAAAUAUCAUACAAAAGUAUGUUAACUAAAAAAACAUCUUUAGCUAUAUAGCCAAGACACUCAUAAAAGACAGACCAAUCUGUAUUUGUUAUUAAAAGGCGUUUGGUUGAAGUUCCACGGAAGCCUGUUUUGAAGGCACCUUUCAUUGACGCCACUGAUACAUAUGCAUUCAUACAGGAGCCUUGUGCUUUACCUGUUACCUGAUUGUCUGAAUUAUUGCUCAGAAAAAAUUGCAACAGCCAGUUUUGCUAUAAAUCCACAACGGUAUACGUAACAGUUUCACUGCAUAUUUAGACUCCACUUGGAAUUUGGCAACAUUUUAGUAGUCAACACUGUGUAACAUUAUAUUCAGAGGACGACUUUCAGUAGUUUGUCUAGUAGGUGAAGGAGUUUAUGUAAUACACUAUUCUUGAAAGUUUUGUAGUGCAUGAAGACCCUUCAGCUUUAAGCCAGAAUACAAGACAAUCUUGAUCAAACCCUGCAGGUCGGUAUUAACUAGGUUUUGGUGGUCCUACUGAGAGAUCAUUCCCCCCUACUUCACCCGAGGACCGAACCCAUUGGGUUCCACAGUCUAAGACUAAGUCUAAAAUCACAAAUAUAGAUGAUAACACUUCACUUCAUUUAAAGGGAUAGUUCACACAAAAAUGAAAAUUAGGAACAUUGUCUCCUUACUUUAGGACUAAACUCCAAACCCAUGUACUGUACUGUACCUUUUUUAAUUUUUUGUAUUUUUUUUUUUUUUUUACAAAUUUAGGGUUUAUUUUUUUGUCCUUUUUGGAAAUUGACAGUCCCAAUAGAAGCCUGUUUCGGCAUGGAAUGAAAAAUAAAAAGUGCAUUGUGACUUUUCUCGUAAUUCUAAAUUUAUAUGUCACAAUUCUGAAUUUUUCUUCUCAGAAUUGCGAGAUAUAAAAGAUCUGGAUUUUUUGAUAAAUGUCCCAAUUACCUUUUUAUUUUUCAUUUUGUGGCGGAAACAAAACUGAAUUGCAAGAUAUGUUGCUACUGAAUCGUGAGAUAAAAAGUCGCAAUUACAAUUAAUUUUUUUUUAUUCAGGAA